GUAGGUGAACCUGCGGAAGGAUCAUUAGUGAAUCGGGCUCGUUCCCGUCCUCACGGCCUCGCUGGCUGUGCGCCCUCGGGCUUGCACGCCGGCUACGCCAUCCACACCUGUGCACCUUUCGGUUGGCGGGGGGGACCUGUGCCCCCUCUCCUCUCGUCUCCACACACAACUGCAUGUCACGAAUGUAAAAUUUAUCAUAAAAAAUACAACUAUCAGCAACGGAUCUCUUGGCUCUC
rnacentral:misc_RNA from 1 species